rnacentral:rRNA from 1 species
AGGGGGAUAACUACUGGAAACGGUAGCUAAUACCGCAUAANGUCUACGGACCAAAGUGGGGGACCUUCGGGCCUCAUGCCAUCAGAUGUGCCCAGAUGGGAUUAGCUAGUAGGUGGGGUAAUGGCUCACCUAGGCGACGAUCCCUAGCUGGUCUGAGAGGAUGACCAGCCACACUGGAACUGAGACACGGUCCAGACUCCUACGGGAGGCAGCAGUGGGGAAUAUUGCACAAUGGGCGCAAGCCUGAUGCAGCCAUGCCGCGUGUGUGAAGAAGGCCUUCGGGUUGUAAAGCACUUUCAGCGAGGAGGAAGGGUAGUGUGUUAAUAGCACAUUGCAUUGACGUUACUCGCAGAAGAAGCACCGGCUAACUCCGUGCCAGCAGCCGCGGUAAUACGGAGGGUGCAAGCGUUAAUCGGAAUUACUGGGCGUAAAGCGCACGCAGGCGGUUUGUUAAGUCAGAUGUGAAAUCCCCGCGCUUAACGUGGGAACUGCAUUUGAAACUGGCAAGCUAGAGUCUUGUAGAGGGGGGUAGAAUUCCAGGUGUAGCGGUGAAAUGCGUA